AAGGUGAAGCUUGUAUUUGCUUCUUUUUCUUGUUAUUCAGAGGUGAUUUUCAAGAGGAGGCUGAAGAUGUCUUUUCUCUGUCAUCUUAAAACUGGAAGUCCUACUGCACACUAAAUUGUGCCUUGAAAGUAGCUACUGAUAAUAUCUCCUUUGGAACAAAUGUACAGAACAAGAUGAAAAUCCUACCUGAAAGAGCCAGCAACCCAACUGGAAGAGCUUGUAGUAUCAAUUUUGUUACUGGGAAUGGUCUGUGGAGCAGAU